rnacentral:rRNA from 1 species
GAACGGUGCGAAAGCACAGUGGCGACCGGNGUGAGUAACACGUGACUAACCUGCCCUUGAGUGGGGGAUAACCUCGGGAAACCGGGGCUAAUACCGCAUAAUUUCAUGAGGUGAAACUUCUCAUGAUCAAAGGAGCAAUUCGCUGAAGGAGGGGGUCGCGGCUGAUUAGCUAGUUGGUGAGGUAACGGCCCACCAAGGCAAUGAUCAGUAGCCGGCCUGAGAGGGCGCACGGCCACACUGGAACUGAAACACGGUCCAGACUCCUACGGGAGGCAGCAGUGGGGAAUUUUGCGCAAUGGGGGAAACCCUGACGCAGCAACGCCGCGUGGAGGAUGAAGUCCCUUGGGAUGUAAACUCCUUUCGAUCGGGACGAUUAUGACGGUACCGGAAGAAGAAGCACCGGCUAACUCUGUG